AGAGUUUGAUCCUGGCUCAGGAUGAACGCUGGCGGCGUGCUUAACACAUGCAAGUCGAACGAAGCAUUUAGAACGGAUUACUUCGGUUUGAAGUUCUUUAUGACUGAGUGGCGGACGGGUGAGUAACGCGUGGGUAACCUGCCUUGUACUGGGGGAUAGCAGCUGGAAACGGCUGGUAAUACCGCAUAAGCGCACAAUGUUGCAUGACAUGGUGUGAAAAACUCCGGUGGUAUAAGAUGGACCCGCGUCUGAUUAGCUAGUUGGUGAGAUAACAGCCCACCAAGGCGACGAUCAGUAGCCGACCUGAGAGGGUGACCGGCCACAUUGGGACUGAGACACGGCCCAAACUCCUACGGGAGGCAGCAGUGGGGAAUAUUGCACAAUGGGGGAAACCCUGAUGCAGCGACGCCGCGUGGAGGAAGAAGGUCUUCGGAUUGUAAACUCCUGUUGUUGAGGAAGAUAAUGACGGUACUCAACAAGGAAGUGACGGCUAACUACGUGCCAGCAGCCGCGGUAAAACGUAGGUCACAAGCGUUGUCCGGAAUUACUGGGUGUAAAGGGAGCGCAGGCGGGAAGACAAGUUGGAAGUGAAAUCCAUGGGCUCAACCCAUGAACUGCUUUCAAAACUGUUUUUCUUGAGUAGUGCAGAGGUAGGCGGAAUUCCCGGUGUAGCGGUGGAAUGCGUAGAUAUCGGGAGGAACACCAGUGGCGAAGGCGGCCUACUGGGCACCAACUGACGCUGAGGCUCGAAAGUGUGGGUAGCAAACAGGAUUAGAUACCCUGGUAGUCCACACCGUAAACGAUGAUUACUAGGUGUUGGAGGAUUGACCCCUUCAGUGCCGCAGUUAACACAAUAAGUAAUCCACCUGGGGAGUACGACCGCAAGGUUGAAACUCAAAGGAAUUGACGGGGGCCCGCACAAGCAGUGGAGUAUGUGGUUUAAUUCGAAGCAACGCGAAGAACCUUACCAGGUCUUGACAUCCAACUAACGAAGUAGAGAUACAUUAGGUGCCCUUCGGGGAAAGUUGAGACAGGUGGUGCAUGGUUGUCGUCAGCUCGUGUCGUGAGAUGUUGGGUUAAGU
rnacentral:rRNA from 1 species